rnacentral:rRNA from 1 species
GACGAACGCUGACGGUGUGCUUUAGACAUGCAAGUCGAACGAGAAAGCCCUUCGGGGUGAGUACAGUGGCGAACGGGUGAGUAACACGUGGGCAACCUGCCCCUCGCAGGGGGACAACCGGAGGAAACUCCGGCUAAUACCCCGUAAGCUUGUUGGGUCGCAUGACCCUUCAAGGAAAGGUAGCUUCGGCCAUCCGGCGAGGGAUGGGCCCGCGGUACAUUAGCUAGUUGGUGGGGUAACGCCCACCAAGGCGACGANGUAUAGCUGGUCUGAGAGGAUGAUCAGCCACACUGGGACUGAGACACGGCCCAGACUCCUACGGGAGGCAGCAGUCGGGAAUCUUGCGCAAUGGGGCGAAAGCCUGACGCAGCAACACCGUGUGAGCGACGAAGGCCUU